UACGUAGGGUCCGAGCGUUGUCCGGAAUCAUUGGGCGUAAAGAGCGUGUAGGCGGCUUGCUAAGUCUUGCGUGAAAUCUCGGGGCUCAACCCCGAGCGGUCGUGGGAAACUGGCAGGCUAGAGUGCGGGAGAGGAGAAUGGAAUUCCUGGUGUAGCGGUGAAAUGCGCAGAUAUCAGGAAGAACACCCGUGGCGAAGGCGGCUCUCUGGAACGCAACUGACGCUGAGACGCGAAAGCGUGGGGAGCGAACAGG
rnacentral:rRNA from 1 species